AUAAGGCAAGAUGUUGGCAUAGCUGAACAUAAUGAUGAUUAGGCUCAAUAAUUUAGAGCCUAAUCACUUUGUUCAAAAUUUCAGCCGUGCUACAUUAGGCCAU
rnacentral:pre_miRNA from 1 species